CCUAUUGGCUGCGGGGCCCUAGGCAGGCACUUAGUUCACUUAGGCCGGCUCUGGGUUAAUGACCUCAUCUAAGCUCCUCCUUUAUUACACAGGAACACUUGGUUCUGGGUCCAAUCGGACCUCUAGAGGUCACCAAAUGACACAGGGUUUCACUUCUUCAACCAAUAAAACAGCAGCACAGCUGGAGGUCAAAGGUCACUCCAAACACAGACUCAGCAGGUAAACAGGUGACACCUGAUACAGAGUUAGGGACCUGAAGUGGACUUAUUUCUGGUUCAGAGACAGGAGAGACCAGGACUCACAGUACGGUUUUACUGCUACUGUAAAGACGGGUGGAGACAGGUGGUGGAGACAGGUGGUGGAGACAGGUGGUGGAGACAGGUGGUGGAGACAGGUGGAGACAGGUGGAGACAGGUGGUGGAGACAACUUCACUCAUUUCAGACUUUUCAGCCCAAAUUUCAGCUUCUUAUAUUUUGAAAUAAGAAGUUAAAAUCCUGACUUGUCGGGUUAUUUGGCUUUUAUUAGUACUAAUGUGAUAUUUGACCAGACAAAUAUUCAUGUUAUUGUUGACUUUCAUGUGAGCUGCAUGUUUGGAUCAUAG